GAACCUUGAUCAUCCAAAUUGUAGCCUUUAUCUCCGAUCAUAGCAAGAACAUGAAAUGGCUCAGCACCUCUCGGAUGUAAUUUGGACCUCCUUUGAACUCGAACUCGUCGCCUUCAAUUGUAAACCCAAAUAUCUUCACUUGGAUCAAAGUGUGCUUGCUUUGACUGCUUGAUCUUGCACGUUUGGAAUGCUCUAAGGUAACUCCAUCUGAUGAAUAUCCAUACAUUCUCCUUGCUUUACUUUGCCCACGCACUUGAAACAAUGUCACUGUCGAUGUUCCAAUGUUGCCCCUCAGUUCAUCUUCUUCUUCAACUCUCUACAUAUGAACUUUGACCAAUGCCUUUAAAACUCCUUUGUCUCCUUGGGAAUCACAAAGUCAAUUUCCGAUAAAUAAGAUAUCUCCAAGUCAAAAUGUUACUGCUGAAUUUUAUCAACCAAUUGAUGCUCGAUGCUUGACUUGUAAGGGAUUCCAAUUGAAUUAAUUUUUGAAAUUAAAUUUUCGAUAACCUGCAAAACAGAAUUAUCCAAAAUAGGGAGGGAAUUGUUAGUUAUCGCCAACGCCUCCUCAACUCCACUCUCCCUUUCAUUUAAGCACACUUUCAACCCUUCUUUCAUCUCCAAAGACUGUUCUUCAUUUUCAC
rnacentral:lncRNA from 1 species